GACGAACGCUGGCGGCGUGCUUAACACAUGCAAGUCGAGCGAGAAAGCACCUUCGGGUGUGAGUACAGCGGCGAACGGGUGAGUAACACGUGGGCAACCUGCCCCAAGGACCGGGACAACAGCUCGAAAGGGCUGCUAAUACCGGAUGUUGUGCGAUCUGCCAAGUGGAUCGCACCAAAUGGUAGCUUCGGCCUCCGCCUUGGGAUGGGCCCGCGGCGCAUUAGCUUGUUGGUGAGGUAACGGCUCACCAAGGCGACGAUGCGUAGCUGGUCUGAGAGGACGAUCAGCCACACUGGGACUGAGACACGGCCCAGACUCCUACGGGUGGCUG
rnacentral:rRNA from 1 species